UAGAGUUUGAUCUUGGUUCAGAUUGAACGCUGGCGGCAUGCCUUACACAUGCAAGUCGAACGGCAGCAUGAUCUAGCUUGCUAGAUUGAUGGCGAGUGGCGAACGGGUGAGUAAUACAUCGGAACGUGCCCUGUAGUGGGGGAUAACUAGUCGAAAGAUUAGCUAAUACCGCAUACGACCUGAGGGUGAAAGUGGGGGACCGCAAGGCCUCAUGCUAUAGGAGCGGCCGAUGUCUGAUUAGCUAGUUGGUGGGGUAAAGGCCCACCAAGGCGACGAUCAGUAGCUGGUCUGAGAGGACGAUCAGCCACACUGGGACUGAGACACGGCCCAGACUCCUACGGGAGGCAGCAGUGGGGAAUUUUGGACAAUGGGGGCAACCCUGAUCCAGCAAUGCCGCGUGUGUGAAGAAGGCCUUCGGGUUGUAAAGCACUUUUGUCCGGAAAGAAAU
rnacentral:rRNA from 1 species